GAGAUGGUCUCAGUUGGUAGAGCGUGUGCCUAGCAUGCACAAAGCCUUGGGUUCCAUCCCCAGCAUUUCA
rnacentral:tRNA from 1 species